GCAUCACAGACCUGAUCCAAAGUCCUUUGAAGUCAAUGGGAGUCUUUCCAUUGAUUUCAGUGAGCUUUGGAUCAGUCCCAAGGUGC
rnacentral:pre_miRNA from 1 species